rnacentral:rRNA from 1 species
ACUCAAAGGAAUUGACGGGGAUUCGCACAAGCGGUGGGCCAUGUGGUUUAAUUCGAUGGCAAACGAGGAACCUCACCAGGGUUUGAAACUCUAUUGACGUUUCGGGGAAACUCGAAAUUUCUCACAAGGACAAUAGAGCAGGUGAUGCACGGCCGUCGUCAGUUCGUGGUGUGAACUGUUCCCUUAAGUGGGGUAACGAACGCAACCCCUAUUGCAUGUUACAAGUGUCAUGCGAGACUGCCUCCGAUUAGGGGGAGGAAGGUGGGGAUGACGCCAGGUCAGCGUGUCCCUUUGACAUCCUGGGCUACACACGUGGUACAAUGGCACAUACAACGGGUCGCCAAGCCGAAAGGCGGAGCUAAUCCUAUCAAAAUGUGCCCCAGUUCGGAUUGAGGUCUGCAACUCGACCUCAUGAAGUUGGAAUCGCUAGUAAACGCGGAUCAGACAUGCCGCGUUGAAUACGUUCUCGAAUCUUGUACACACCGCCCGU